rnacentral:rRNA from 1 species
AUUUAUUAGAACAAAACCAAUCGGGCUUGCCCGUUGUUUGGUGAAUCUGAAUAACUAUGCAGAUCGCACAGUCCACGUACUGGCGACGUAUCUUUCAAAUGUCUGGCUUAUCAACUUUCGACGGUAGCUUACACGACUACCGUGGUAGUAACGGGUAACGGAGAAUAAGGGUUCGACUCCGGAGAGGGAGCCUGAGAAACGGCUACCACAUCCAAGGAAGGCAGCAGGCACGCAAAUUACCCACUCCCGGUACGGGGAGGUAGUGACGAAAAAUAACGAGACGGUUCUCUAAGAGGCCCGUCAUCGAAAUGGGUACAAUUUAAAUCCUUUAACGAGGAUCUAUUGGAGGGCAAGUCUGGUGCCAGCAGCCGCGGUAAUUCCAGCUCCAAAAGCGUAUAUUAAAGUCGUUGCGGUUAAAAAGCUCGUAGUUGGAUCUGCGCCUUAGGUUGGCGGUCUCCCAAAAGGGUUGUACUGCCGUACCUGGGCUUAUGUUCUAGUUUUCCCUUGGUGCUCUCCACCGAGUGCUUUGGGUGACUGGAAGUUUUACUUUGAAAAAAUUAGAGUGCUCAAAGCAGG